AGGAGAACAAGACCUUCUGUUGCUGUUGCCCUACUUUCAGUGGCUCUUGGCUUAGGAGAGUCCAGAAAGAGAGAUGUUCAUGCCGCUAUGGACGUCAGUUUGGCCCUCUUUCCGAAGCUUCUGGUUGUGUGGGGGAGAACUCAACAGGUACCUCAAGGAAGGUACCUUGGGGGAGGCCAAUGGAGAGCAGGCCACACUGUAAUCUCAGCUGAACGGGGUCGCACCUGUUUCACUGUCAUUGAGUGUGUGUACAUUUGUGUAUGUGCAAGAGGAUGUGUGUUUGAGACUACUGUGUUUGUGUGUGUGUGUGUGUGUGUGUGUAUAGGAGACAGAGGAGAGGAACAUGCCCUUCCUGGGUAUAAACCAGCUGCUACGGAUUGGAAGCCUGACACAUCUUUGCUGUUCAGACGCCAGGUCAUAGCAGGCAAGAUGAGAAGGUGAGUGCUGAGGGCCAAGCUCAACUUCAAGUAUGUUAAGUCAUGAGCGCAAGAGUGUCUUUCAUCUGGGUUCUCGUUUCCAGAUGUCCCUUCAGCUGCCCCUGUGCUGUGAAGCAGAGAACACGAUUUCUAAAGGGGAUGUCCCCUUGUUGUGAUGUGGAGGGAGUACUCUAAUGUCUCUUGGCCCUGUACAUACAGGGCACUGUAUUUGCAGAGCUGCACCCAGGAGAUCUUGGAGGAGAUGUUCUGUGGCUUCAACUCUUCUAACUCCCUUGACAAUGAUUGGGUGCUCCAGGCAAACAAGGAGCAGUGCUGUUCUGAGGGAUCCUGUGUAGAACGCAGCUCCACUGUCAUUGCACAACGUCUGCAGGCUCACGAGAGAUCAUACUAAAGAAGAGAUCCACACAGGAAAUCUUGCAUGAGUUGCUCCAAGGGUUCAAUUCUCCAUCUACCCCCAAGAAGCACAGGUGCAUCAGGCCACCGCCUACAAGCAUGGCCGGUCUGGGCUGAGAACCAGUCCCAUUCAUGGGGAAAGUCAGGACCCACAGAUGAUCAAGGCAAUCCAAGGAACGGGACUAAUAACAACUGGCUCCCCUGGGGCCUGCUGGAGAAAGUGCUCUCCCCUGAUCCUUCCUCCAUAGGUCAGGAACAGACCAAGGUACAUCAGCUUAGGGGACAUGCCAGGGAGCCCAUGCUUUGGUCUCUUCUCAGGCCCAAUCUGUGGGAUUUUGAGCAGCAUUUGAGGUGCUCUCUGUGUUCUAUGUGCAGUGGGAUGCUUACAGAUGACUCCAUGGAAUACUGGUCUUCGUAAAAGCUCUGAGUUGAGAGAAAUGUGAGUGUUGCGCAGCUAUUCGUGUGUGUUGAAGUUUCCAAUGCUGUGCCCUACGUCUGAACCAACCAAUGGUACUUUGAAGCCUAAAACCUUUUUCUGUGUGGGCCCUGAACUCCUUUGUCCUGUACAACUUCCUGAGGGGAUUGGUGUCUCUGGGCUGAGUGCCAGACCCUGAUCUUCCCAGUGGCUUGUGGUUUGGAAGCUGACAACAGUGCCCCUCCUUGUGUCUCUGGUGUGGAAAGGAAUCAUCCACCCUGACAACAGAUGAGUCCUGGGCCAUGGGGACGCUCUGGGAGGCCAGAAUGGAUACUUUUGUACAGUCCCUGCCACGAUCCAUCCAGGAGAGAAGCCUCUCAGAAAACGCAGUCGUUUCCCACCUCUAUCACGUGUUCAGCACAGCUCAAAGGGUCCUGGGCCAGCAGCUCCUCAAGUGAGUGACCACCCCAUACACAGCACAGGGCCUGAGGCUCGCCUCUACUACUGGCAUGUUUUGGGAAUGUCACUGCACCUCUCUGAGCUUCUUUUUCUUCCUCUGAGAAGGGUUGUGGAAGAGGAUGAACCUCAUGGGGCUACUGUGGGCAAUCCUGGCAGAACACAUGGCCUAGAAUUCUCUGCUGCCUGCCUCUGUUGAAAGGGCUGCUGGGCAUCUUCCUGUGGAGCAGCUGUCUCUCGCCAGCGAAGAAGCUCUCCACAUCAAGCGUCAUGGGCCUGUGGCACCCUGGGUGUACAGAACACUGGAAAGCAGACCGUUUUCCUGUUUGCAAAAGACUUCUGGGAUUCCAUCUAACUGGCACUGCUCCUUGUCCUUCAUGUGUCCAGAGCAGCGGUCAGUGGGGAAGACAGAGCAGCUCAUGGUCCACUCAGUAGACGGAAAGUGCUGGCUGGGAUUCCUUUCUCCAAGAAUAGAGAUAAAGCGCCUAGGAUUGCAGCCACAUUUCGAAGCACUAACAUCAUUGGAAGAAUACAGUAGAUACACGGUCUCAGUCUCAAGUCUAAUCAGAGUGUCAGACAGUCAAUCUACCUGUUGUAGGCACGCAUGUCCACAGUUGGUUAGAUGUGAAAUCUUCACGGCCGCCGCAUGGGAUGAAUGAUCCCGCCACAUUUAGACCACUGGGAUGGAUGAUUAGAUCAGGUAAGGGCACUGGGUGACUCAGUCAGUGAGGCCCCUGAUUUCAGAUCAGGCCAUGAUCCCAGGGACCUGGCUUUGAGACCUCCAUUGGGCUCCCUGCUCAGUGGGGAGCCUGCAUUGCCCUCUCCCACUGCAGCUCACCCUGCUUAUUCUCUCUUUUUAUUAAUUUUAAUUUUAAUUUUUAUUAUUUUUCACAU